CUCCUCCCGAUUUUUGCUCCAGCCGCCCGACCUUUCCUCCUUCUCCUUGACGUCACGGCCGCCACACUUGCAACCGAUCUCCGCCGUUGGAACCAAACGAACCACCACUCGACCGCCGACGUUUCUUGACCCUUCGCCGGAGUUUCCGUGGCCGGAGAUCGCCGGAAAACUCCAUUUUCGCCGGAUUUCCAGUUUGAACUUUGAGCUCGAUUUUCUCCUUCAAUUCUCCACCAAAUCGAUCGAGUAAGGCACCAGAGGUCCGGUCGACCUACAGGAGGGACCUACUAAGGGUCCAGCUAGCUCGGACCACCAGCCGUAGAAGUGCGCAGGAUCCACCACCGGGCCAUCCCUAGCUUCCGCACCACCAAGUAAGGUAGAGUUUUGUGGAAAAAAUUCUUGAAAACCCUGUGAACUUUAGAAUUUGCUCUGAUAUCUGGUUUUAGUGGAAAACUGAAGCUGGCAAAUAUUUGGUUAUCCUAUUCUGGCAGUUGGUGUGGUUUUAUUUGAUUGUUUGACAGGUGGAAAAAUUUGGGUUUGGUCAAAAUACAGGGGAGACUCUGCCGAAUUUUCGGUAGAAGUCUGAGGGAAAUUUUAAACAGCUUUUGAAAUAAGAAGGGUAAAAAGGUCAGUUGUGCCCGACAUUCGCCAGGUGUCGGACACGCACAGGACUUGGCUCGAAAUCCAAAGUGGAAAUUGGGUCGGGUCCUGUCAUGUUUGAGCUCCCACAUUGGAAUAAUAGAGUUCCUUGGAGGUCUUUAUAAAACUUACUCUUGGAAAUAGAAUAGAUUGUAUUGACUAUGCAAGUGGCUCAAUUGAGUGUCUUGUGGGUUUGACCAUUUUUUAAAUGCCUAAUGUUCAAUUAAUAUAUUUAAUUAAUCAAAAACCUAGGCCUUGGGCCUUGGGCUCACUAAUUAAAAUUAAAACGGAUUAUUUAACUAAUUAUUUAAACACAUAUUGUUUACAAAAUUUUCAA